rnacentral:rRNA from 1 species
UACAGAGGGUGCGAGCGUUGUUCGGAAUUACUGGGCGUAAAGCGCGUGUAGGCGGCCUUGCAAGUUGGAUGUGAAAGCCCACGGCUCAACCGUGGAAGCGCAUCCAAAACUGCAUCGCUCGAGUCUCGGAGAGGAAGGUGGAAUGCUUGGUGUAGAGGUGAAAUUCGUAGAUAUCAAGCAGAACACCUGCGGCGAAGGCGGCCUUCUGGACGAUGACUGACGCUGAGACGCGAAAGCGUGGGGAGCAAACAGG